AGGUAGGUAUGUGUUACGAUGAAGAGUGAGAAGGAAAAAGUGUGGUAUUAGCACCCUAAACAUCUAUAUUACUCUAUAGGAACCUCUUUGAAAAUUUGUACAUGUUUGCUAAAAAAUGGUGUUGUUUGCAAAUGAUUAAGGAGAUGAGAAAAGAAAUGUUUCUUUAAAAUUUUUGUGUUUGCCAAGAUUUUUGAUUCUCAUGCCUACAUACCAACAAAGUG
rnacentral:lncRNA from 1 species